rnacentral:rRNA from 1 species
UACAGAGGUCUCAAGCGUUUGUUCGGAUUCAUUGGGCGUAAAGGGUGCGUAGGUGGCGGGGUAAGUCAGGUGUGAAAUUUCGGAGCUUAACUCCGAAACUGCAUUUGAUACUGCCUUGCUUGAGGACUGGAGAGGAGACUGGAAUUCACGGUGUAGCAGUGAAAUGCGUAGAGAUCGUGAGGAAGACCAGUGGCGAAGGCGGGUCUCUGGACAGUUCCUGACACUGAGGCACGAAGGCCAGGGGAGCAAACCGGG